rnacentral:rRNA from 1 species
CGUCAAAUCAUCAUGCCCUUUAUGUCCUGGGCUACACACGUGCUACAAUGGCCUGUACAGAGGGAAGCGAAAGGGUGACCUGGAGCGAAUCCCAAAAAGCAGGUCUCAGUUCGGAUUGCAGGCUGCAACCCGCCCUGCCAUGAAGUCGGAAUCGCUAGUAAUCGCAGGUCAGCAUACUGUGGUGAAUACGUUCCCGGGUCUU